rnacentral:rRNA from 1 species
UACGGAGGGUGCGAGCGUUGUCCGGAAUCAUUGGGCGUAAAGCGCGUGUAGGCGGCUGGGUAAGUCCGCUCUGAAAGCCCGGGGCUCAACCCCGGGAGGCGGGUGGAUACUGCUCAGCUCGAGUCCGGAAGAGGAGUGUGGAAUUCCUGGUGUAGCGGUGAAAUGCGCAGAUAUCAGGAGGAACACCGGUGGCGAAGGCGGUUCUCUGGGCAUUACCUGACGCUGGAGGAGCGAAAGUGUGGGGAGCGAACAGG